rnacentral:rRNA from 1 species
GACGAACGCUGGCGGCGUGCUUAACACAUGCAAGUCGAACGGGAACCUUUAUUUCGGUAAAGGUGAGAGUGGCAAACGGGUGAGUAACACGUAGGCAACCUGCCGACAGGAUGGGGACAACAUUCCGAAAGGAAUGCUAAUACCGAAUGGAGUCCGAGGAUGGCAUCAUCCACGGAUCAAAGAUGGCCUCUUAACAAUGCUAUCGCCUGUCGAUGGGCCUGCGUCUGAUUAGCCAGUUGGCGGGGUAACGGCCCACCAAAGCGACGAUCAGUAGCCGGUCUGAGAGGAUGAACGGCCACAUUGGGACUGAGACACGGCCCAGACUCCUACGGGAGGCAGCAGUGGGGAAUCUUCCACAAUGGGCGAAAGCCUGAUGGAGCAACGCCGCGUGAGUGAAGAAGGUCUUCGGAUCGUAAAGCUCUGUUGCACGGGACGAAAACCGAGCUUGAGAAUAUUGAGUUUGGGGACG